rnacentral:rRNA from 1 species
UCCGUAGGUGAACCUGCGGAAGGAUCAUUAUUGAAUUAAUGUAGAGUUUGGUUGUAGCUGGCUCCUAAUUAAACUUGGGGGCAUGUGCACACCUUUCUCUUUCAUCCCAUACACACCUGUGCACCUGUGAGACAGAUGUUUUGUGGGGGGGAAGGAACUUUAUUGGACCUUCUACUCCCCCUUGACUUCUGUCUACUUAAUUCAUAUAAACUCAAUUUAUUUUAAAACGGAUGUAAUGGAUGUAACACAUCUAAUACUAAGUUUCAACAACGGAUCUCUUGGCUCUCGCAUCGAUGAAGAACGCAGCGAAAUGCGAUAAGUAAUGUGAAUUGCAGAAUUCAGUGAAUCAUCGAAUCUUUGAACGCACCUUGCGCUCCUUGGUAUUCCUUGGAGCAUGCCUGUUUGAGUAUCAUGAAAUCUUCAAAGUCAAACCUUUUGUUAAUUCAAUUGGUUCUGCUUUGGUAUUGGAGGAUUAUUGCAGCUUCACACCUGCUCCUCUUUGUGCAUUAGCUGGAUCUCAGUGUUAUGCUUGGUUCCACUCAGCGUGAUAAGUUAUCUAUCGCUGAGGACACCCUGUUAAAAAGGGGUGGCCAAGGUAAAUGCAGAUGAACCGCUUCUAAUAGUCCAUUGACUUGGACAAUAUCUAAUUUAUGAUCUGAUCUCAAAUCACGUAGGACUACCCGCUGAACUUAAGCAUAUCAAUAAGCGGAGGA